UUACUAUGAAGUGGCUCACCUGUUUGGAUGCUAUGUUGAAUUGGAUCCCAUGCCUAUGUCUGAGUCCUUCUUUAAGCCCCUGGAUAAUGAUAUGGGCUGAGGCCCUUCAGACAAAAAGUCAUACCCAGAAUAAGUAUCCCUAUGAGAUUGAACCACAAGCCACUUCGGGAAUCGGGAAUCCAUGUUACUGAAUUAACAUCAAGUGGCUAAUUUAUCUCUCAAGUAUUAAAGCCAUAUCAGGGAUGCAAUGUCAGUCUCUGCUGCUAGCAAAUUAGACUUUGAAAGGCAGAAGUAGCUAUAAGAUUGGCCUUGGUCAGUGGGAACUCAUGCUGUUUUAUUCAUGUGUUGCCUCCAUCUCUGCAAACAUGGCCAUUCCAUUUAUGUGCCAUUUUGGAAUGGACCAUGACAAAGCUUGGCUAACAUCAACUGGUAGAAUUCUUUUAUCUAUUUGAUUUUUUCAGUUUCUCUUUCAUUAGUGAUGGUGCUUUAUGGUCAGAAUAAACAUGAGAUAACAAAAAUCUUCACCCUUUGUGCUCACUCUCUUAUGUACAUCCACAUGCCUGUAUUCAGACCUCUUUUUCUCUAACCUUCAUCUUUUCCUUCAGGAUCCUGACUAGCUGGCCAGGCCACUAACAUUGCCAAGGAAUCUGUACAGAUUCUCAGUACCAAGUCACUUCUCCUUCCACAUAAAGUUGCCUAUGAGGAAGAUUUUUCCUCCAAGCUGCCUUUCAGGGUGACCCCUUAAUGUAUACUUUCCACUCAUAUACCAAACCAAUCCAUUAAUAAUCAAGUUUGACCUUUUUUCUUCUCCUCCUAUGGCAUGUGCAGCCUGAGGAAGGGGUGCAGAUGCCACCAUCAUGAGAAAUAUAGAGGGGUCUGUGCUACUAAUUAAUUCAUGCAACUUACUCAAACCCUCUUGUCCUUCUGGUGUUUGAUUUUGAAUGCAUCAUUUCUGUAUUAUGCUGGGCCCAUUAACUUUAUAACUGAGCUCAUGAUGGACACUUUUAGACACAUGAUAACCUUUAACCCACAGUCAAGCUUUCUGUCUCUAUGAGGGUCUAAUACCAUAUGAGGAGCUGUUUCUUGAAAGGAGUAAAAUCCUGUGCUGCAGAUGGCGUGGCCUUUCUCCUAGAUUCCAGAGUCCUAUAUUCUGAUCUCCCAUUGAGACUUGCUGUAAACUCCACACUGACUGCUGCAGUGCCCUUUGCUGCUCCUGGUUGCACUUGGAGCAUACAUCCCUCCAUGUCUCCCAGGAUAUGAGCUAGAGGAAUAUUCCCACGUGUGGAAUUUGUUGCUUCCAGAGCCCAAAGAGGCCCAUUAGACAUCUUGCUUCAUUAUAGUAGGAGAUGCAAUAUGCAAAAGUUUGUCUUUUACAAAAGAGAGGUUGUCUUCACAUGCCACUGACUACUAGACCACUAAAACUUUACAGAAGUGUCAGAUUCUUGGAUCUUUCCAGAUUUUACCUUAUACCUUCUGGAUCUAUGUGUCUUACCAAGGCCUCUGCCAUACAAGCUGCCCUUUCUCAUUCUGCCCCAUCAGCACAUUACUGAUAUAUCACAGUGCUGUUCUGUAGAAUGUCCAGACAAUCCAGGUCUCUCAGACUUUAUUGCAAAGAGAUUGAAG
rnacentral:lncRNA from 1 species